rnacentral:snoRNA from 1 species
GGCCUCCUGGUGCUUACCACAGGCUGUGUUCUUACACUGACUGUAUAGAAAAAGGAAACAGAGCAAACCUACCCUAUAUAUGCCUCAGCCCAGGCCCUGUGUUGUGAAUGGGGAAAACAUGG